AGAAUGUGCCUUCGGGAACCGUGAGACAGGUGCUGCAUGGCUGUCGUCAGCUCGUGUUGUGAAAUGUUGGGUUAAGUCCCGCAACGAGCGCAACCCUUAUCCUUUGUUGCCAGCGGUCCGGCCGGGAACUCAAAGGAGACUGCCAGUGAUAAACUGGAGGAAGGUGGGGAUGACGUCAAGUCAUCAUGGCCCUUACGACCAGGGCUACACACGUGCUACAAUGGCGCAUACAAAGAGAAGCGACCUCGCGAGAGCAAGCGGACCUCAUAAAGUGCGUCGUAGUCCGGAUUGGAGUCUGCAACUCGACUCCAUGAAGUCGGAAUCGCUAGUAAUCGUGGAUCAGAAUGCCACGGUGAAUACGUUCCCGGGCCUUGUACACACCGCCCGUCACACCAUGGGAGUGGGUUGCAAAAGAAGUAGGUAGCUUAACCUUCGGGAGGGCGCUUACCACUUUGUGAUUCAUGACUGGGGUGAAGUCGUAACAAGGUAACCGUAGGGGAACC
rnacentral:rRNA from 1 species